ensembl:lncRNA
CAGACAGACAGACAGACAGACAGACAGACAGACAGACAGACCAACAACACCUAAACACUCACACACGUGGACAUACAUACAUGCAUGCAUGUGUACGUACAUACUUACAAUUCAACUCAUAACACCAACAAUGAUAUCUGCCAUGUGUAGUGUAUCAGUAUCUGGCGGUGUAUGUGUACAUUUAAUACUCUGUUGAAUCACUCGUAUGCAUUCAGGGCUGCUUGACCGGAGAUGCAGCCACAUGGCUUUGGGUAGAGCUUUGUGUCGAUCACCGGCAGGAUGUUGCCAGCGCUGCCUGGAGCCCGACGGCCCUCAUGUGGAAGCAGGGAGGGAAGCCCAGAGUGAUUAAGGAGGACUCAACCAUGAACAGUUUGCUGUCACUUAUUGAUCACUGGGGAAGAUCAUUUAAAUGACAACAAUUAAACUGCACACUAAAUGUGAAGGGUCUCUAAAUAAAUAAAAGAUGAGCCAGAGCAAAGGGGAGGCACAAUUAAAGACAACAAAACACAGCAAUUUACAUUAAUUAGCAUCUGUUUUUAUUUGAUGUAAAUUAGGGCAAUAAGGCAAUUACGAAUGCUGGCAUUAGCAGACGUGUCUUCAGUCCCUAAUAGCUGUUUCACUGCUGAACACGCUGGUGAAACACUAAGCAGGACUCAAGUCACAGAGCUUAUGUCCUUCUCUCAUUAAGUCAUCAGCUCGUUUACCCAGGGUUAGCCACUUGGAUCGGAACCAUAGUCAUUGUAUACUAUGGUUUCAUUCAGAAAGCAAACAAAAGUCAUACAAUUAAUGUUAUAAUUCUUUCUCUGAUGUUCAGUGUUUCUCAAAAUAGGUACUUCUAAUAUUGUUAAAGAAAAAUUGUGAAGCUAAAUCUGGCUCAAACAGGCUCAAUCUUUACAAUGAACGACAGAAAUGAGAUAGAUAAAUUAGCAGCCCUGGUUCCCAGCCUAACUGAGUGUUUGCAUCACCCAUUUAAUCUUUACACCUAAUAAAAUACACCUACAUUGUU